GCUGGGCAUGGUGGCACGUGCCUGUAGUCCCAGCUACUCGGGAGGCUGAGGCAGGAAGAUCGUUUGAGUCCAGGGGUUCUGGGCUAGAGUGAGUUAUGCUGAUCGGGUGUCCGCACUAAGUUUGGCCUCAAUAUGGUGACCUCCCAGGAGCAGGGGACCACCAGGUUGCCUAAGGAGGAGUAAACCUGCCCAGGUCAGAAACAGAGCAGGUCAAAACUCCCAUGCUGAUCAGAAAGCCACAGCUUAAUAUCAUGUCUGCAAGCCACUUUCUGU
rnacentral:SRP_RNA from 1 species